CCUUUUUCUCCUUCCCCAUAAUCUCCAGAGUUUUUUUUCAAUUGUUUGAACGUACGCUGACAAGAUCCAAAAUGAUACGAAAUCAUCACUCCAAUCUUUCCUCUAGGUUUUUUUUUAAACGAUCUCUGACAAAAUGGGCUUUAUUUAUUCUUUAGAAGCUGCACUUUAGCACAAGUUCACCAGCAUCAUUUUUGUUGCAAUCAAUAUCACCAUAUCAUACAAAAUAUUACAAUACUGUUUCCAUGAAAACAAAUAUAGACAAAUACUCAGACAAAUCAUUUAGUUAUGACAUACAAAUCCAACACAUAUCAAUAACUUCACUAUGUUUGCCUCUUUUAAAAAAAAAAAAAAAAACAAUCAAAAUUUAUUUAAAAAUUAACACAACGCUCCUUUUAACUGCAAGAAGCCAUUUUUCAAGCAAUGAAGAAAGCAGGAUAUGGAAGUUUUUAAAAAUAUUUUUACAGCCCAAGACAAAAGAAAGCUUCUUUAAUAAAAUCGACAGGAUUAAAUUUCACCAAAGUUACUUGUAAAUUCUGAAACUGCCAAACUCAACAUUUAUAUUCAAUUGAUACAAAUUUACAUGAUAAACCGUUAAAAAAAGAAGGAGAAAAAAACGAAGAGAAUGCCCUCAAGGUUAGAGAGAGGGUCUUUUUGUGUGCCCGCUUCAAUACAAAGGAUGCCAAUAUCUUAAAAAAAA